rnacentral:tRNA from 1 species
GAGAUAUUAGUAAAAUAAUUACAUAACUUUGUCAAAGUUAAUUUAUAGGUUAAAAUCCCUUUAUAUCUCU